UACGUAGGGUCCGAGCGUUGUCCGGAAUUACUGGGCGUAAAGAGCUCGUAGGUGGUUUGUCGCGUUGUUCGUGAAAACUCACAGCUCAACUGUGGGCGUGCGGGCGAUACGGGCAGACUUGAGUACUGCAGGGGAGACUGGAAUUCCUGGUGUAGCGGUGGAAUGCGCAGAUAUCAGGAGGAACACCGGUGGCGAAGGCGGGUCUCUGGGCCAACACUGACGCUCAGGCACGAAAGCGUGGGGAGCAAACAGG
rnacentral:rRNA from 1 species